rnacentral:lncRNA from 1 species
GCUGGUCACGUGAUGCUUCAAAUUUUGAAUAUUUCAGAAUAUUUAACUUUUCAAACCGGGGGUGCGGGCCGCUUUGAUUUUAUCAAACAUGGCCGUGCAAAGGGGCGAUAGAAGCUUUUGCGACUGAAACCAGAGACCGAAACUAUGAUGAUAAACUUUUCAACUGACAGUGGAAAUAAAUAUAUAGUCUGCGAUGUUCUUCAAAAAAAUAUGGAAUAUAAUCAACAGCAAUACUUGUCGAAGAUCAAGAUUCAAAGAGAAGAGUCUAAACACUGACUGACAACAGAAAAUAUUUCUUUUCAGCUUGGAAGCGUGUUUUAUAAUAUUUGUCGUUUGGGAGUCAAUAACAUACUGUCAGUGAAGAAUUUGAUUUGGGACUUUGAUGUACCUUUAUGAAAAGAUUACUACUGAAUACAAAUGUUUAUGUAAAAUGUGAUUAGAACGUUUUAAUAUGAACAGUUGCACUGUCAUUGACUCAAUAUAUUUUAAUGUGGGACAAACAUUAAAAAACAUUAAAGUACUGUGCCAAGUGACAAAAUUCCAUGCCGAC